AUGUGUGCGGGAGAAAGAAGCAGAUUGAAGUGGCCACCCAAUCCGUUGCAUGCAAUGAUUAAACAAAUUGUGCUCUCUGUGUGCAUGCACAGGGGUAAACUCGUCCAAAAUAUACACAGGGAGGACCUCCUUGUCUUGCUGCGGAGAGGGUUUGGAGGAUCGCAAUUGUCGUCGCCAUCCAAGACGCCUCGCCGCAUCGGUCUUGGGGCGGUAGCCAAUGCGCUCUCCGCAUCCUUUGUCUGCGCUUUCCCCCCUUUUAACCAGACAUCGCUGCCACAUGACCACGGAAGCAACAGCGAGAAGAGGCGGUGCACCUAUGACAUUAUCGCUGUUAAUCUUCUGGUUUAUGUGGCAGAUAUAGCAUUGAAAAGGAAGCUUACUAUGUGGGGAGCUAAGGACAACGACCUGAUCAGCAAAGGGCAAAUCUGGCGCCUGGCUACACCAGUUCUUCUUCAUGGGCGUCUUCGUCACAUUGCUGUAUCAGUUAAAUAUAAUACUCUCUCUUUGGCUAGCAUUGGGCCUACGGUGGAAGAGUUUGCUGGCCCUAGAAGAUUUCUACCAAUUUAUGGCACUUCGGCAAUCUCAUGUUCACUAAUGAGUUACUGGUUUACCUCCACACCUGGUAUAGGUGCAUCUGGUGCUAUCUUUGGAUUGGCUGGUGCAUAUGCUGUUUAUAUAUGGAGGCACCAAGAGCUUUUACAAAACGGAAAGGAAGUUUUAGAGAGUAUUAAAACUGUGGUUUUAUUAAAUCUGGGCAUCGGCAUCCUUCUUAGGCACCGCAUCGACAACUGGGCACAUCUGGGAGGGUUCCUUGGGGGAGCAGCGGUCGAAUGGUUCUACGGCCCUGAUUGGAAACGGUGGCCUUUGUUCGGCCAAUGA
rnacentral:rRNA from 1 species